rnacentral:tmRNA from 1 species
GGGGUUGACUGGUUUCGACAGCAAGACCAAUGGGUAAGUAAGCAUGCAGAGAACCGUAGCGCGAUCUCUUUAAUCCCUUGCUACACAAUUUUAACUGGCGACCAAGAGUUUGCUCUUGCAGCAUAAUCCGAAUCAUAGUAGGAUUCUGCGCUCUCCCGAAGCAUAGUAAGGAGGCAAGAUGUCUCACAAACGCUCUGUUCUGCGGCGUUUGAACCUGAGGCAUAGCAAUGCGGAAAUAAGUCCCGGAAGACUUCGGUCCGGGAUCGAAAAUUUUAGAAGUUAAGCUGUAAAUUGGGUGUCUGUGCUCUGUUUGCAGUCGAAAAUCAAAUACAGAAUAAGCAUGUAGAAAACUUAUGUAUUGCUUGUUUGGACGAGGGUUCGAAUCCCUCCAACUCCACUU